rnacentral:lncRNA from 1 species
GAUUAAUCGAAUAAAUUUCAUUCACUCCGCAUAUUCAAUCCUAUAGACACCCUUUGAAUCCUUCAAUCAUAGACGUAACCUCAAUUUCACAAAAUAGUCAAGAGUAAUCACACCCACUUCAUUAAAAUCCCGAUUCACCAGUACAACACUGACUUCAGCAAUGAUUGCCUCAGUCUUCCCAAAAUCCUAUGAAGAAAAAAAAAAAACCCCAAUUCUCUGUCUUUUUUCUCUGUCCCGAAGCAUAAAGCUAGCUCUCCGACUCUUUCAAACCCUUAUUCUCUCCCCUUCAUUUCUU